rnacentral:tRNA from 1 species
GCCCUUGUAGUUUAAUGGAUAGAAUACGCCCCUCCGAAGGGUGAGAUCCAGGUUCAAAUCCCGGCAAGGGCA